AGCUCCAAUAGCGUAUAUUAAAGUUGUUGCAGUUAAAAAGCUCGUAGUUGGAUUUCUGUUUGGAGCGAUCGGUCCGUCUCUAACGAGUCGUGUACUUUGUGUUGUCUCUGAACAUCUUUGAGGAGAGUGCGUUUGUUAUUAAGUUAUCGGGCGUAGGAUCCUCAUCGUUUACUGUGAAAAAAUUAGAGUGUUUAAAGCAGGCAUUUGCAUUGAAUACAUUAGCAUGGAAUAAUAAGAUAGGACUUUGGCUCUAUUUUGUUGGUUUGCAAGCCAGGGUAAUGAUUAACAGGGACAGUUGGGGGUAUUCGUAUUUAAUUGUCAGAGGUGAAAUUCUUGGAUUUAUGAAAGACGAACUACUGCGAAAGCAUUUACCAAGGAUGUUUUCA
rnacentral:rRNA from 1 species